CACCCGCCCACACGGUUUGCCGUGUUUUCACCCUUCUUUGUUCUCCACCGGUCUGGGCAGGGUCUGAGGACUCCGGAGAGCAAGGCAUGGGUCCGCCUCGUGCCGCAGGUUCCUGGCCCACGCCAGCCGUACCCAGUAGCACAAUGGUAAGCGCAUGCUGGCGAGAGGGAUUUGAGGACACACGCCAGCUGCCUACACCUGAAGAAAGGGCUUUGCUGCUACGCACUGACAAGUUGGACGGCUUUUUAUUGCUUUGUUGCCAGUUAUCUGAACAUGAGAGGCUGUAAGGUGUAAUCUGCGAGCCCUGCGCCCAGACUGAACCAGGGCCUCCCUUGAACAUGAGUAUUAGACAAAUGAAAUAAGAACUUAUCUUGCCCAGACUAUAUAAUGGCUUGGAAAUGCAUAGUUUCCUGAACGAUCUCAAUAAAAUACUUUUAAAAGUACUUAAAUAGACUUUUUCUGUGUCACUUUGUGGGGAGGUGUGAGAAGAUAUAGGAGCUAGUCAUUUCAUGUGUCUGGUUCCUGGUCCCUUAACAGCAUCUGUUCUGGAAGUACAGAUGAAAAUUCUAUACAGACCUGUAAGGCUGACCAUAGUUUUAGCAGAUUAGCAU
rnacentral:lncRNA from 1 species